UCAAACGCUGUGAUAAAGGAAGUAACCUUUCUUUUCUUCCGCGCAGAGAGAACGUGUCACCGGCUGAAAGCACGUUUGCGGAUAAGACUGGCGAAGUUCCCUUUGGAGCGGUGCGGCUGAACCAUUCGCAGUAGGCCGCAACGGGCGGCACCGUUAGCAGGCUGUCAGAGUACAAAUACAGGGUGGUACCACGGAGCUUUGCGCUUUCGUCCCUUGC
rnacentral:ncRNA from 1 species